GCCGUCCUCGGCCCCUAACCAGGAGAUUACCCAAGGAAACCGAGAUGGCGGACAUCAGGACCGUCAAGGUGUGCGACGACACGUGCGGCUGCGCGGUCCCUUGCCCCGGCGGUGCAUCUUGCAGGUGCACCACCCCCACCACCACCGCAGGGGGUGGUGAGGUGAGGCACAAUUUGUGCACGUGCGGGGAGCAUUGCAGCUGCAACCCUUGCACGUGUGGAAGGACAGUGCCGAGCGCCGGAGUUGGCAGGGCGGCUUGCACAUGUGGGGCUGGUUGCACAUGCACGGCAUGCGCCGCGGCUUGAGAGGAGCAGUCGAUAUGUUUCUCGCUUGCUCUGGAGCUAUAGUCGUGCUAUAGCUAGCUAGCUACCUACCAGUAUAUAAAUAAUAUGUGCCGAGCUACCGUGUGUGUGUGUGUGUCUAAUGUAAUAAUUUAGGCUUAUGAUGUAAUAUGACGAGUUUAAAAGUUUUAGUAAUUCACUCGUUGCCUGCAAAGA